AGUGAACGCUGGCGGUAGGCCUAACACAUGCAAGUCGAACGGCAGCACAGUAAGAGCUUGCUCUUACGGGUGGCGAGUGGCGGACGGGUGAGGAAUACAUCGGAAUCUACUUUUUCGUGGGGGAUAACGUAGGGAAACUUACGCUAAUACCGCAUACGACCUACGGGUGAAAGCAGGGGAUCUUCGGACCUUGCGCGAUUGAAUGAGCCGAUGUCGGAUUAGCUAGUUGGCGGGGUAAAGGCCCACCAAGGCGACGAUCCGUAGCUGGUCUGAGUGGAUGAUCCGCCACACUGGAACUGAGACACGGUCCAGACUCCUACGGGAGGCAGCAGUGGGGAAUAUUGGACAAUGGGCGCAAGCCUGAUCCAGCCAUACCGCGUGGGUGAAGAAGGCCUUCGGGUUGUAAAGCCCUUUUGUUGGGAAAGAAAAGCAGCAGGUUAAUACCCCGCUGUUCUGACGGUACCCAAAGAAUAAGCACCGGCUAACUUCGUG
rnacentral:rRNA from 1 species